UGGACCAAGAGUGUGAAGAUCAGGAG
rnacentral:piRNA from 1 species